rfam:Gongylonema pulchrum genome assembly, scaffold: GPTH_contig0055607
CAAACGGCCCUCUUUAGGGCCACAAAUCGAUGAGUCAUGCUUUC